rnacentral:misc_RNA from 1 species
GAUGAAGAACGUAGUGAAAUGCGAUACUUGGUGUGAAUUGCAGAAUCCCGUGAACCAUCGAGUCUUUGAACGCAAGUUGCGCCCGAAGCCAUUAGGCCGAGGGCACGCCUGCCUGGGUGUCACACAUCGUUACCCCAACGCAAACAUGUAACAAUGUUGCUGCGCGGGGUGUAUGCUGACCUCCCGCGAGCACCCGCCUCGUGGUUGGUUGAAAUCUGGGCUCAUGGCCGACUUCGCCGUGAUAAAAUGGUGGAUGAGCCACGCUCGAGACCAAUCACGUGCGAGCCGGUCAGUUCUGGACCCAUCGACGACCCUUUGCGUGCACGCACGCUCCCAACGAGACCUCAGGUCAGGCGGGGCUACCCGCUGAGUUUAAGCAUAUCAAUAAGCGGAGGA